rnacentral:rRNA from 1 species
GAUGAACGCUGGCGGCAGGCUUAACACAUGCAAGUCGAGCGGGCAUAGCAAUAUGUCAGCGGCAGACGGGUGAGUAACACGUGGGAACGUACCUUUUGGUUCGGAACAACUGAGGGAAACUUCAGCUAAUACCGAAUAAGCCCUUACGGGGAAAGAUUUAUUGCCAAAAGAUCGGCCCGCGUCUGAUUAGCUAGUUGGUAGGGUAAUGGCCUACCAAGGCGACGAUCAGUAGCUGGUCUGAGAGGAUGAUCAGCCACACUGGGACUGAGACACGGCCCAGACUCCUACGGGAGGCAGCAGUGGGGAAUAUUGGACAAUGGGCGCAAGCCUGAUCCAGCCAUGCCGCGUGAGUGAUGAAGGCCUUAGGGUUGUAAAGCUCUUUCACCCACGACGAUGAUGACGGUAGUGGGGGAAGAAGCCCCGGCUAACUUCGUGCCAGCCGCCGCGGUAA